CCGGGGCCUCCGCCACAGCCCCACCGCCCCACUGGGGCACUCUGGGAAAACACAGCUGAUAAACAGCACAACAAAGACAGAGAAGCGUUCCUGCAAACACUGCAGGAGGGGGAGAAGCCGCAGGUACUGGAGGAGCCAUCCCCCCAGCCCACGGGCAGCGAUGGUGGGGCUGCAGCCUGUGGAGUGUUCGUGAUGGACAGCGGUCUGUUUCUUCCCUGUCUCCUGACCUCAGCUCCAAAUUGAAAACUCCAUCAGGCAUGUGUGUAUGAUUCCAAAUGCAAUUUGCAUCUGCUCUUCAGAUUGCAAGGUGGGCCAUGCUGAUUGCUGUCACCUCAGCCCCUGGACAGCAAGGAAGCAGCUUUAUGGGCAUGCACCAUGUUUCACAUCCUCUUCUGGAUGAGGGCAGACACGGAUCAAAGGAAAGGAAUGAAGACUGCCUGCCUCUACCACAAAACAUUUUCUGGAGGAUUUGAAGCAUCUUUGAAUAGGGAAUCAGAGAAUUUGCAAGGAUUGGAAUGGAGAAGUCUAAAGGAACAAUAAAGCAUUUGCCAGAAAUCUGCCAGAUGAAAGAUUUUCAAAGAAAAUUUUGAAUGUUAGCUGCUGCAAAAGCAGAGAAGACUGUCUUGAAACUCAGAGAUGGACGGGACACAGCAGAUUUCUGCAUCUACACAUCUUAUGUAAAAUCUGUAAAGAGCAGGCAGCUGUCAGCAAGAGCUGGAGACUUCAACCAAAGUAUGUAGAGCACCACCAACAUGUUCAUGUGUGUAAUUCAGCCUUAUAUCUGAAUACAAGAAUAUACUCAUCAUAGAUUAACUGUAAUUGAGGUGUCUACUAUUUGCCAUUCAUUAUAUCAAUUUACUAUAUUCUUUGGAAUAAUGGUCAUGUCAGUAGAAGCACAUCUGAAGAUACACUGUAUAUUCCCUCUGAGGUAAUAGGGCUGCUGUGUGCUAAGCUAGCUGGGACUUCAAAUAAUAUUCAUUUAACCUGAAUAUUGCAUUUUGAGCAAGUUUCCCACUCUUGUCUAUGUUGUCAAUCUAUAUCAGUUGUCUGUGUUUUACUGAACACAGUUAAGUCAAAUUAUUUCUUUAUUGUCCAAAGAACAUCUGAACUUUAGGAUAAAAGAGAUGGCAUGCUUCUGAUAGGGCAGAAUAGUUAUAGCUUGAAGGAACAUGCUCUAUUGCUAGGGACAAAGGUGUUCUUCACAGAAUAUUUGGCUUCUUCUCUGUUUAAGUUUUGAGACCAUAUUCCACAGACAUAAAUAUUCUUUUAAACUACAUUGGCUAGUGAACAUAUUUUUCAGUGUUCAGUGAUUCUGGUUACUUAGUGUUCCAAACUGUUUCUCUUCAAGCUAUGAUUUUCUACUACACUACAAGAAACAAUGUUUUGAUGUUGUAAUUGGUACAAAUGGAAACUCUGCAGCUUUAUUUCAUGACUAAGUUGGUGCAUUUCUGGCUAUAUAUAUACUUUGCUCUUUGUUUUGUAUUAAAGUUUUUCAGACGAUGCCCUGAGAGUGCUUUAAAAUGCUACAGCUGAGGAGGGAAUGUGAGUCUUGGGUGUUGGAGUGUAGGACACUGCCUUAGGGCUGGAUAGCAGGAUCUGCUGUGCCAGACUCUUGCUGGCAGCAUUUCCCUGGCACUGUCUGCUCAUUAGGGCUCUGCUUCUAUAGCACACUUAAACACAAGGAAAAGUUCACCCUGCCAAUGGACAAAGAUAAACAUAUAGUCCUGUUAAAGUUAAGCAUGUGCUUAUGAGCUUCACUAAAUUUUGGAUAAUGAGAGAUGAUGCCUGUGUGUACAAAGGUGUCAGAGAAGCUGCCCCAGGGACCUGUUUACCUUUUGCUCAUUAUUUGUGUUAUUUCUGAGGGCUACAGAUACUGCUGCUUGUUAUCCACCUCACUGACAUUUCCUAGUUGUUCUUCCAAGUGCUGCUAAAAAGAAAAGCUGAGAUUUUGGAACACUAGUGAGUGCCAGUGAUUGAAUUCCAUAGCCCCAGGACUGUGGAUGUGGAGAGACCAGCAUAUAAAGAGGGGGGAAAAAAACCCCAAGCAUUUUUUUCUUGUACAUGUGGCAUUGCCCAGUUUCUCAGGACAGCAAAGGAGAGUGAGAGAGAAUAGACAUUUUCUACCAAACAGAGUAUAAUAUUGAAAAGUAUGCUAAACACCGAAAAUUAAAGAAAACUGUAUUUUCAUGUUUCAUCAGUGAGAAGGGACAAGGAAAGACCUUGGAGGCAGGAGAAUUUUCAAAUAAGAAAACUCUGUAAAAUUGCUUACUCUCCAAAAAGAUUGUGUGAAAUGGUUGUUUUGCUUCUGUAAAGCAUGCAUCAUGUACCCAAAGGCUGUGCUCCCUGGCAAGAGAAGUAUUUCCAGCCCCCCACUAACAGAAGCACACUGCCACUCCUGAUAAGAAAUCUGCCUUGUAGUAGUAGAGGGUUUCUGAUGCAGAAAGUGCAUCUGUAGUGUCUGCCCCAAAGGCUCUUGUCACUGCAGCCAAGAUUUAGCUUUAGCAUUAAUACUGAUUUGCUCUACCAUCAGUUUUUACCAGCUUUUAAUUUUUAAUGUGUUUCAU